CGCAGGUUGUGGCGGAGACCCGGGGUCCAGCUGGGCCGCCCGGCCUUCCUUGAGGCGGUCUCCGUCCGCGCGGCUCGGCGGCCGCGUCCCUCGGGGUCCUCCGGGCGAGGCGCCCCCCCCCCCCCCCGGGUUCUCACGCCGGCGCCUCCCCUCCCGCGCCCUCGCGGCUCCUCGUGUCCGCCCGCGGCCGCCUCCCAAAGGUGCGUCUCCGCGGCAGCCCCGAGGUGCGGCCCUCCGGGGCGGUCGCCGGGGCGGUCCCCGCGGGGCGGUCAGCGCUCGGGGCUGGGAAUCCUCCCAGGAGCCCGGGGACCGGCUCCCCCCGCCCCCGCGGGCCCCGCGGCCCCGGCCCUGAGCGCCUCUUCCCAGCCCUUCGCUGUGCGCUCCUCCGCGGUCCCCUCGGCCCAGGCGGUCCUUCCCAUUCCUGCCGCUGUCACUUUUUCUACUGGACUAAUGUAAGUCCAAUAUUGUAAUCGUGCCUGUAUAGUUUUAGUACCAUAGCAAAGGCUACAUGUUAGGACAUUUGACUGUUUUAAAAUAUCCAACACCAUACAGGCCAAUCCACGAUUCCUUGUCGAUGCUGAAUUCGUUCCAAGACCAGAUAAAGUAUAAAUCUAGUCGAUACACACAAAUAUCAGGAUUGUUGGAUUUCUCUCUCACUGGUCUUGAGAUGCAUUUUGAGGAGCAGUUUUUUUAAAUUUAAAUUUUAGUUAAUAUAUAGUGCAAUAUUGGUUUCUGGAGUAGAAUUCAGUGAUUCAUCGCUUACAAAGAACACCCAGUGCUCAUCACAAGUGUCCUCUUUAAGACUGAUCACCCAUCUAGCCCAUCCCCCACCCGCGCAUUGACCCUGUUUGUUCUCUAUCCUUAGGAGUCUUAUGGUUUGUUUCUUCUUUUCUUUCCCUCCCCUUCACAUAUGUUCAUCUGUUUUUUUUCUCAAAUUUCACAUAUCAGUGAGAGUAUAUGGCACUUAUCUGUCUCUGACUGACUUACUUCACUUACUAUAAUACACAUAGUUGCACAUGGCAAGAUUUCAUUUUUUGAUGGCUAAUAGUCCAUUGUAUAUAUACAGCAUAUCUUCUUUAUCCACUCAUCGGUCCUUGGACAUAUGGGCUCUCUUCAUAGUUUGUCUAUUGUUGAUAAUGCUGCUAUAAACAUUGGGGCUGAUGUACCCCUUUGAAUCUGUAUUUUUGUAACUUUUGGGUAAAUACCUAGUAGAGCAAUUGCUGGAUCAUAGGGUAGUUCUAUUUUUAACUCUUUGAAAGACCACCAGACUGUUCUCCAGAGUGGUCGCACCAGUUUGCAUUCCCACCAACAGUUGCAAGAGGGCUCCCCAUUCUCUGUAUCCUCACCAACACCUGUUGUUUCUUGUGUUGUUAAUUUUAGCUAUUUUGUCAGGUGUGAGGUGGUAGGUCAUAGUGGUUUUGAUUUGUAUUUCCCUGAUGAUCAGUGAUGUUGAGCA
rnacentral:lncRNA from 12 species